rnacentral:rRNA from 1 species
GAUGAACGCUAGCUACAGGCUUAACACAUGCAAGUCCAGGGACCGGCGCACGGGAGAGUUACACGUAUCCACUCUGCCCUCAACUCUGGCACAGCCUUUCGAAUGACAGACCAAUACCCGAUACCAAGCGGCGGGGUGCGUUCCACUGGGUUGGUGGUGAGGUACCGGCCCACCAAGCCUUCGAUGGAUAGGGGGUCUGAGAGGAAGCUCGCCCACAGUGGAACUGAGACACGGUCCAGACUCCUACGGGAGGCAGCAGUGAGGAAUAUUGGUCAAUGGGCGUUAGCCUGACCCAGCCAAGUAGCGUGAAAGAUGACGGCUUAUGGGUCGUAAACUUCUUUUAUAUAAGAAUAUGUAGUAUAUGAAUAAGGAACGGCUACCUCCGUGCCAGCAGCCGCGGUAAUUC